GUGCCAGCCGCCGCGGUAAUACAGAGGGGGNAAGCGUUGUUCGGAAUUACUGGGCGUAAAGGGCGCGUAGGCGGCCCGCUAAGUCGAACGUGAAAUCCCCGAGCUCAACUCGGGAACUGCGUCCCGAUACUGGUGGGGCUUGAAUCCNGGAGAGGGAUGCGGAAUUCCAGGUGUAGCGGUGAAAUGCGUAGAUAUCUGGAGGAACACCNNUGGCGAAGGNGGNAUCCUGGACCGGCAUUGACGCUGAGGCGCGAAAGCUAGGGGAGCAAA
rnacentral:rRNA from 1 species